GGCACCAGGCGGGAGCACCCAGAAGGGCCCUGGCGACUCUCCUGGCCCUCCCGCACACCUACGCCUCCCCCAACUGGCCCAGCACGCAGCCGCUGACCUCGCAUGCCGCACAGGCCCCCUUCGCACGCCAAGGCUGCUGUCAUCGCCUGCRCACCACCAAGCCGCACGGCCCCGGCAUGCCCUCGGGAGCUGAGCGCCACCGCCAUGCUCGUGCGGCAUGCAAAGCAAAGCAAAGCAGGAAGGAGACCAUCAGUGACUGCUGAUGGGCUCCAGCCCCCGAGAAACAAGCCCCCCGUCACCCAAAGUGCCCGGCCCCAGGGGAUGCCCUUUUUGCUGCCCUGGGGCACUCCAUGCAGAUGCCCAAGGCACCAGGCAGGACCACCCAAAAGGGUCCUCAGGUUUCUCCCAGCCCUGCCCAUCACCCUCAACCCUCCGGGGCCCACCAUACGGCUGCUUACAUCUGACACAGCACAGGACCCCUCCACACGCCAACACCGGUGCCCUCGCCUGUGCCGCAUGAGCCUGGCAUGUCCUUGGGAGGUGCUCAGCGCCGCGCUCGGCCGCCGCACAAACCAAAGCAAAGGAGGAGAGAAGUUGCCGUGAGGAAAUSCCCACAGCUCCCUCUGCCCCAAUGCCCAGAGACAGCUCAGCGCCCCCCACACUACCGCAGGCCGAUGACGGUGCUGGGCCCCCCGCCAGCACGCCGGCUGCCCAGCAGGACACCAAGCCUGCAGCCAGGGCAGCCUCCCUCAACGCCGACCAGAACACGGAACACAGAAUAUGGAACUCGCUGCCACCCCGCGCAACGCUGACAAUGGCCUCAGCAACAGGCACCAUCUCCCCAGCAAGAGGGACAAGCACCCCAGCCCCAGACGCACCCACCCCACCACUGGCACGCCAACAAGCAUGGCACAAGGGCUGCGCACAGGCACAAGGCCCCGCUCACAAACCCGGACACUGCUCCCGCCUCACCACACCUCUAUAGUCCUCUCCAGCACUUGAGAUUUGCUCUUGCAGAGAAGUUGUCUUCAGCCCCUCCUCUUUUCUUGCGUGCCUAGUCCAGAAAACAAUAGCUGGCUUUUGGCACUUACUCUUUUUUACAAGCUGACACCUUGCCUCCUCAGACAUUGGCACAAAAAUCACCCUSCCCCUGACAAGGUUCACACACCAUCAAGGAAGCAGCCACAACUUCUCUUGGGCCCCUCCGGCUUUCUUGCAUGCCUACUCCAGUYAAACAAGAACUGUAACGCUGAGGUUCAGUGUUUUGCAAUGAUGUUCGUCCUUCAAGUUAGGAACAUCUUGGAAAUACACUAUGGGGCUGGGAGCGCCCACUGCUGAGCAGAGCGCCAGCAAGAGCUGUCCCUCCAGUGCUCGUCUCCCCAGUGGCUCCCCGUCCAGACACCCUUUCUCAGCAGCGGUGGGGAGCGGGUGCGGAGCGGCCCGCGAGCCCCGUGAGCCUUGACACACCUCCUUGCCGUGGUCACAUGAAGGUUGGCAGCGUGGUGA
rnacentral:lncRNA from 1 species